UGCAAAGAGAAGUUAAGCUUCUCUUGUUUGGUUUUAGAGUGAUGGAAAAGAAAGAGCACAUAAUAUGUGGGAUCCAUGAUAUUUCAACUUCUUCAUGUGCGAAAAAAAUCAAGGAAAGGUGCUCAUUUUUUCUUUCCCCUAUUUGCCAUUAUCAGCUAAUGUUGUUGCAUCAGAAAAAAGCUAAUAAUUCACAUAUAAAAAAAAUAAAUAAGCUAAUGUUAUUUGUUUUGAAAAAGAAAACAUAAUGGUUAAUUUGGUCUCUUCCAUUUAUUUUAGAUUUUAAUUUACUCCUUUAAAUUUAAAAAAAAUUAAAUCAAUCUUUUAUGUUUAUCACAUUUGUAUUAUUUAAUCGUUUUUGUUAGUUUUAUAUUAACUCUGUUAAUUGUAGACCAUGUGUCUGAUGGAGUUUAACUAGUGUGUGACACAUGUAAACUUUAAACAUUUUUUGAUUUAUUAUUAUUUUAAAAAUUCAAAACAAAAAAAAAAAAAUUACAUGUAUCACACACCAGUUGAAUUUACAUCGGUCACGUGACCUACAAUAAACGAAAUUAGUAUAAAACUAACAUAAAUAAUAAAGGUAAAAUUUUUAAAACGUAAGGAAUCAAUUUGAUACCUAAAAUAAAUGUGUAAGUGGCAAACUUAACAAUUAUGCCAAAAUAAAAUAAUGAACAUUUGAGCAGAAAAUACUUAAUUGCAAUUUUGGUCAAUUUAAUUUCUCAAUUGAGUGUAUUUGGUCCUCUAAUAUAAAAUCAACAAUUUUGAUCUCUUACAUUUACUUCUUUUUGGUUUUUGAGUAAUUCUCAUACACUUAUUUUUUACCACAGAUAUUAAGGAUUAAAAUUUUGAAAUAAAAAUCACUUUGAAAAUUGCCUAACAAUUUAAUAAAUUAAAAUAUUUAAUUGUAGUUUUGAUCCUUUAUUUUCAUAAAUUCGUAAAAUUGGUCCAUUUAUUUUAAAAUUCAACCGUUUUAGUUUCUCAUUUGGAUAUUUUAACUUAGAAAUGACGACAUCACAUAUUUUAAAUUACGUGAUAUAAAAUCUCAUGAUGUAAAACCAUCUAAAAGCAUUAACUAUUUAUACGUUAUUAAUUAAAUUAUAAAAAUGAAUAAUUUCAUAAGUUAAAACUAACGUUUUUAGAGUGUUUUAUUGUAAUUUUAUGAAUAUUAAUCAUUCAUCACCCUCAUAUCAUAUCAUAUAUAACAUCAUUUGAAAUUUGUCGCAUUAGCAUAUUUUAUUUACAAAAAUUGAAGGAGACCAAAAUUAUUGAAUUUUAAAAUUAGAUGAUCAAUUUCGCGAUUAGAAUAAAAAACCAUAAUUACAAUUAAUCUAGAUAAAAGAAAAAUCUGAAGUAAAAAAUAUCAAUUAUAAGGAAGGAGGGUUUGAAUUAUAAUUGCCCCUUUUAAAAUAUUCUUGUUUAAAACUGAAAAUUCAACUCAAGAUUGAUCUUGGUUAUAACGAAGAUUGAUCUUGGUUAGUAAAAAACAGCAAUAUCAAUGUUAUCAAUAUAAACUCUGAUUGUAAUGCAUAAAAUAAAUAGAGAUAGAGAUAGAGAGAUCACACAAGGAUAUAUCCUGGUUCACCCAACCCGGGUUACGUCCAGUCCUCACAACCGUGAGAUUUUUCACUAAAUGUUCAAACCAAGACCGUUCUUGGUUUUCAUGGAUCAAUCUUGAUCUUUACACAAUUCCUACCCUUCUACCUAGAAAGGAUUUCUUCAGUUCUACCUUACUGUUUUGGAAAGGCUUUAACAAGUUACAUUUCAAAACAUGAAAGGAUUUUUGCAAUUUACUCAAGAUUUGACAAAACAACCUUGAGUUACAAAGUGAUGGAUUUGAGACUAUUUAGAAUCUUAGUAUUGCUCAACUCUUGUUUGAGAAAUAUAUUCUGUAAAUAGACCUCAGUUGUAAAUGAUUACAACACAAAGAUUAAAACAAAACAGCAAACUAUAAGAAAGAUUUUGAGACACUUGAGUAUGAUCAAAAAGAUUGAUCUUUUUCUUGGUGUUGAUAGUUGUGUUUUGUUCUUCAACUUGCAGCUGCAUUUAUAGACUCCAAGAAGGCAUAGGACAGCUCAUGUGACCGUUGGAAAGGGACCAGCUGUCAUGAAUUCUGCCAAAUACAAGAUUGAUCUGCUGCAUCAAAAGAUCGAUCCAGGAUUGAUCUUCUGGUUUGUGAUGAACUAGCCUUGUACUUCUGUGAUUUGUGUUAGUAUGUCAGCCUUGAGUACAUGCUUUUCUGUUACGUGUGCAGGCUUUAGAAUAGUUCAAAUCAGUAGUGUACUUUGCUACUUGUAGUCUUGUACUUGCAUUUGCUUUAUAAGAAGAAUGAUCUUUGUGAUAUGCCUUUGUUGAAGCAUGCCUUUGAUUCUUCAAAUUCUGGAACAAAUGUGACUUAGAUUGAUCUUUUGUUGAUUCUAUAUGAGAGUAUAAGAUGAAUAUUAUUUCCUGGAUUGAUCUUCGUUUUUCAGAACUGCUUCAAGAUCAAUCUGCGUUUUCCAGAAUUGCUUCAAGAUCAAUCUGCGUUUUCUAGAACUGCUUCAAGAUCAAUCUGCGUUUUCCAGAACUGCUUCAAGAUCAAUCUUCGUUUUCCAGAACUGCUUUCUUUGAUCUGAUUUGUGAUGUUUGAUACCUAUCUUGCUUUAACAUACUCAAAAACACAUGUUAAAUAUCAAAACACUUAGAAUCAUAAUUAGAAUUCUUAAUUAACUUUUUGUUUGUUUUCAUCAAAACAUUAAAUUGAGAUUUUGUCUCAACAAAAUCCUCUUUUGAAAUUGAUUUUCUUCAAGGAAUGAGGGAGCAAUACACUGAUGUGUGUCCCAACCCAAUCUCAACAGAGAUUCAAUAUGGGGUUUGCUAUAUUGGUGACUUGCCUUAGCAAAUUAGAAAUAGGACAAA
rnacentral:lncRNA from 1 species